UACGUAGGGUGCGAGCGUUAACCGGAAUUACUGGGCGUAAAGCGUGCGCAGGCGGUUCGUUGUGUCCGUCGUGAAAGCCCCGGGCUCAACCUGGGAAUGGCCGUUGAAACUGGCGAACUGGAGUGUGGCAGAGGGGGGUGGAAUUCCGCGUGUAGCAGUGAAAUGCGUAGAGAUGCGGAGGAACACCGAUGGCGAAGGCAGCCCCCUGGGCUAACACUGACGCUCAGGCACGAAAGCGUGGGGAGCAAACAGG
rnacentral:rRNA from 1 species